rnacentral:rRNA from 1 species
GACGAAGGGGGCUAGCGUUGCUCGGAAUUACUGGGCGUAAAGCGUGUGUAGGUGGUUUUCCAAGUCGGGUGUGAAAGCCUUGGGCUUAACCCAAGAAAUGCACUCGGUACUGGAAGACUAGAGGACCGGAGAGGAUAGUGGAAUUCCCAGUGUAGUGGUGAAAUACGUAGAGAUUGGGAAGAACACCAGUGGCGAAGGCGGCUAUCUGGACGGUUUCUGACACUAAGACACGAAAGCGUGGGGAGCAAACAGG